rnacentral:lncRNA from 1 species
GGAGCUUGGUGAUCAUGGCAGAUUCUGUUCAUUGUCUCCAUGAUUCCCUCCUGUUUUCUUCCGUUUAGUGCCCAUUGCUCUGGUAUAUCCUCCAGCUUGACAACAUUCUCCAGCCUUCCCCCACUUUUGUUUUCAAGCUUCUAAUGUAUCUACACCUAACAUAUUCCCCCGCCCUCCAUUUUGGCAAAUGUGGUAUGUUUGAUCAUUAUUCUUUUCCCUUUGAAAACAUACAUAUUUUCCCUUGACUAUUUCUAGAAGAAUAGUUUUCAGU